rnacentral:rRNA from 1 species
UGGGGAAUAUUGCACAAUGGGGGAAACCCUGAUGCAGCGACGCCGCGUGAAGGAAGAAGUAUUUCGGUAUGUAAACUUCUAUCAGCAGGGAAGAAAAUGACGGUACCUGAGUAAGAAGCCCCGGCUAACUACGUGCCAGCAGCCGCGGUAAUACGUAGGGGGCAAGCGUUAUCCGGAUUUACUGGGUGUAAAGGGAGCGUAGACGGUAAUGUAAGUCUGAUGUGAAAGCCCGGGGCUCAACCCCGGGACUGCAUUGGAAACUAUGUAACUAGAGUACCGGAGAGGUAAGCGGAAUUCCUAGUGUAGCGGUGAAAUGCGUAGAUAUUAGGAGGAACACCAGUGGCGAAGGCGGCUUACUGGACGGAAACUGACGUUGAGGCUCGAAAGCGUGGGGAGCAAACAGG